rnacentral:rRNA from 1 species
UACGAAGGGGGCUAGCGUUGUUCGGAAUCACUGGGCGUAAAGGGCGCGUAGGCGGCUCUGCACGUCCGUUGUGAAAUCGCCCGGCUCAACUGGGCGGGGUCAGCGGAUACGGCGGAGCUUGAGCAAGCUAGGGGGCAAUGGAAUUCCCGGUGUAGUGGUGGAAUGCGUAGAUAUCGGGAGGAACACCAGUGGCGAAGGCGGUUGCCUGGGGCUUUGCUGACGCUGAUGCGCGAAAGCGUGGGGAGCGAGUCCGG